CUUUGCAGGUCUAAGAACACCAGCUUGUGCAUACUGCUCCUCCACAGCCCAUACUACUAAUUUUUGUCCCAACACGGCAGACGGACAUGCCUCCACACAAGGAACUAGUUCCUCUGGGGAUCCAGGGAAACUAUCGAAAGACAAAUUGGGACGCCCAAUCAAGUUUCUGGGCAAGUCCCAAAUAUGUAAUAAUUUCAAUGUUGGGUCUUGUAAUUACA